UACGUAGGUGGCGAGCGUUGUCCGGAUUUACUGGGCGUAAAGCGAGCGCAGGUGGUUUAUUAAGUCUGGUGUAAAAGGCAGUGGCUCAACCAUUGUAUGCAUUGGAAACUGGAAGUCUAGAGUGCAGGAGAGGAGAAUGGAAUUCCUAGUGUAGCGGUGAAAUGCGUAGAGAUUAGGAAGAACACCAGUGGCGAAGGCGAUUCUCUGGACUGUGACUGACGCUGAGGCUCGAAAGCGUGGGGAGCAAACAGG
rnacentral:rRNA from 1 species